UGGAAAACGAAUUCCGAUGGCCGCGAUUCACAAUGUACAUCAUCAACAAAUCCGGAGGCUUAAUCUUCUACAAGGGAAACAAAUAGCGGUCAAUGGGGUGCUUACGAUUAUGGAUGGGCGGUACGGAUGGACACGAAUGAUAGCUUGCGAUCGGCGAGUUUAUGGCAUUCGAAGCAUGCGAUUUCUCAGCAUUAUCGCCGACUAAGGGUUGCUCAGGGAACGAACUCCUUGAAGCGGAUGCGGAUGCAUUCGAUCUCCAUUGCUUCCAAGCACUCACUGGUAUGCCUGGAUUUUAAUCUAAUUUGCUUUAAAAAAAAAAAAGAAUUUGAAAUUUGAAGAUUUUGUUUUAUGUUGUGUUGGUUCUCUGUAUGGAUCCCGGGAAAAUGUAGGAAACUGAAGGAAAGAGAAUUGAUAAUUCAACUAAGAUAGUGGAAAUGAUUCUGUAAUAAGGUUUGAUUCGGUGGAGUUUUGAGUUUUCGCUCUUACUGAGAAAUUUGAAUAGUGUAGAUCUAAUCUUUAGGUCAGUGACCGAGUGGAAUCAGAUGAUAAUAGCUGAUUUUUAUUUUUA